UACGGAGGGUGCAAGCGUUAUCCGGAUUCACUGGGUUUAAAGGGUGCGUAGGCGGGCAGGUAAGUCCGUGGUGAAAUCUCUGAGCUUAACUCAGAAACUGCCAUGGAUACUAUUUGUCUUGAAUAUUGUGGAGGUGAGCGGAAUAUGUCAUGUAGCGGUGAAAUGCUUAGAUAUGACAUAGAACACCAAUUGCGAAGGCAGCUCACUACACAGUUAUUGACGCUGAGGCACGGAAGCGUGGGGAUCAAACAGG
rnacentral:rRNA from 1 species